GCUGCGGUGUCCGAGUGGUUAAGGAGAUGGACUCGAAAUCCAUUGGGCUCUGCCCGCACAGGUUCGAAUCCUGUCCACAGCG
rnacentral:tRNA from 1 species